UACGAAGGGGGCUAGCGUUGCUCGGAAUCACUGGGCGUAAAGCGCACGUAGGCGGCUUCUUAAGUCAGGGGUGAAAUCCUGGAGCUCAACUCCAGAACUGCCUUUGAUACUGAGGAGCUUGAGUCCGGGAGAGGUGAGUGGAACUGCGAGUGUAGAGGUGAAAAUUCGUAGAUAUUCGCAAGAACACCAGUGGCGAAGGCGGCUCACUGGCCCGGUACUGACGCUGAGGUGCGAAAGCGUGGGGAGCAAACAGG
rnacentral:rRNA from 1 species